GCAGAACUGUUCCACUAGCACAUCUGGUAGAGCUGCUGCUUUGAGAUGUGAUAUGGAGAUGGAUGAGCUCCAGAGUAACCCCACUUCCCACAGACUGCAUGAGCCAGCAGGACUGCCUGCCAAGCCCACUAGGUUCAUUAAGCUCAGUAGAACCCUGCAGGAAAAACCAAUUUUAAAAAUAGCUUUCAAAGGCUCCCUGGGUUUAAAAGUUCUGGAUUAUUUUCCAUUGCACCAUGCAGAGAAAUUGUCCCUUCUAAAGCACAAUUUACAUCUCCUGAAUAAAGAGAAAGAAAAUACCUUUUUGGUCUAUUUGAGGUAACAUGACCUGAUGUUUCUGUUGGAAGGAAUUUACCGAAUUUUUCAGCUUUGGUUACCUCAUCCUUGACAGGAGACUUUUGAGUGACCAAAAGGUGGUCACUUUGUUGAAAAAAUCUCUUUCCUUCUGCUGUUCCAGAAAAGCAUCAUUUUCACAUCUUAAAAUGCCAGGCUGGAUUUCCAGGAGGAUGCAAUUCAAUAAAUUGCCAAGCUUCUUCACGGCAAAGCAAAAUGUCAUUGAACACCUCAGAUUUCCUACACCAAUUUUAGCCAUGCUGACCAGUUUUGUGGGAAGAGUGAGAUGUAAAAAGCCAUUCCCUCAUUCCUGAUUUCUCACUGAUCCCAUGGUUUGGAGCCCUCAGUACAAUCAAAAGUAGUGCCUACACAGAGCUAAAUACAGUGGUCACUUCUACCUCUAGAAGCCUCCAGACUGCUCUAAGAGUCAUCAAAGAGUGAAGGACACACUGGGAAAUUAGCAACUCCUUUUCUUCAGCAGCAGGGAGGCAGUUUCUUCUGCAGCUACUCCCUAAUUGCUUCCACUAUGAGCCAUGCAGCUUUGCUGGUCCACGGAGCUUAAAUCCACAUGAGACAAUUCCAGGAAAGAACAUGUCAAUCCAAUCAGCAAGUCACUUUGGUGUGUGUGCGCUCUACAAUCUGCCUGUGAAGUGCUGCCUGUUCCGCUGGAUUUAAAAGGCAGAGCAGCUUCAGGAGUUUUUAUCUCUGCAUGACUGCUGGCUAGGGAUUUGAAAAGAAAAAAAAAACUGCAAGAGGAAAUUGGUUUGGACAAGAAGAGCUUCUGUACAUAAUUCUUAUUAAUUUGAAGAUGAAAUGCAGUCUCUUAGAAACAAAAAAAAGAUAGUGUGAUGGCUUACUCAAUAUGGUUAUUGCUGUGGGAUUCAGCCCCAUUUUCUAAGGAUUAGAACUGACUUCCCAGCAUAGCCUAUUUACUGGGAACAGAAUUACUGGAAUUCUUCCUUUUAGGGACAAGGCAUGUAAAGAACAAAAGGAAUCUCCGAAGAGUGAAGCUUUCUGUUUCCCAGUACACAGAGAGCAUGAGAGCUCUAAGGGGGAAAGAGUGGCUCCAUUUCAAUGUUGUAGAACAUUUACUUUCUGUUUGAAUGGGGUUUUGGUCAGAAAAUUGAAACUUUAUAUUGAAGGAAAGAAAAUACAAGGUAUUGACAUUUACAUUUAGUACAGGACAUAUGAUUUUACUUAAAUAAAAAUAACUGCUAAAACCCACCAAAAUAAAAUUUGUACUCUAGGACAGUGUUGAAAGUUUUUAUUUCUUUUUCUUCUCAGUUAAUAAAUCACAGUAUGCAUUUGCCUCCUAUCUCAAUAAAAACUCAUGAAUU